UAGCGAUGUUUGCUAACCGUCCUAGCCUUUGCAAUUAAUGGUUCGAUUUUAAACACUAGAAUUUUGGUAAUUGCCUUGCAGUUAGAAUCCAGUGAGUAGCAAAGUACAAAGUUCAGUACUGCUUAUUGCCGCGCUGCACUGAGUUUUGCUCAAUUUCACAAGAACAAUAAUCCUUUUAUCUAGAUGUCGAGGAAACGAGCACUAGUGCUCGGUUGAUUAAUUAACAAGACUACAAAUCAAACUCAAUGAGAACAAAAAUCUCAGCAAAUAUGCUUGCAGCAAAAAAGAAAAAAGAGAAAUUCAACAAAUCAAUUUAUAUCUAGGAAUAAUGCAUGUGUCGCACGUCGGUAAGGAUUUGAAGAUAAUGUUGUAUAGAUUACUAUUGUUAAGUAGUUAUAAGAAAGAAAACUCGGCUAGGUUUCUGCUUAUGUAGCAAAGUUCAGUACUGCUUAUUGCCGCGCUGCACUGAGUUUUGCUCAAUUUCACAAGAACAAUAAUCCUUUUAUCUAGAUGUCGAGGAAACGAGCACUAGUGCUCGGUUGAUUAAUUAACAAGACUACAAAUCAAACUCAAUGAGAACAAAAAUCUCAGCAAAUAUGCUUGCAGCAAAAAAGAAAAAAGAGAAAUUCAACAAAUCAAUUUAUAUCUAGGAAUAAUGCAUGUGUCGCACGUCGGUAAGGAUUUGAAGAUAAUGUUGUAUAGAUUACUAUUGUUAAGUAGUUAUAAGAAAGAAAACUCGGCUAGGUUUCUGCUUAUGUAGCAAAGUUCAGUACUGCUUAUUGCCGCGCUGCACUGAGUUUUGCUCAAUUUCACAAGAACAAUAAUCCUUUUAUCUAGAUGUCGAGGAAACGAGCACUAGUGCUCGGUUGAUUAAUUAACAAGACUACAAAUCAAACUCAAUGAGAACAAAAAUCUCAGCAAAUAUGCUUGCAGCAAAAAAGAAAAAAGAGAAAUUCAACAAAUCAAUUUAUAUCUAGGAAUAAUGCAUGUGUCGCACGUCGGUAAGGAUUUGAAGAUAAUGUUGUAUAGAUUACUAUUGUUAAGUAGUUAUAAGAAAGAAAAGCAAAGCUAGGUUUCCGUUUAACGCCUUAAUUAAAUCAGGUUUGUAGUGUUUUCUAACGGACUGUCGAUGACGACUGUAAGGCUAUAAGCAAUCGCUACCCGCCCUCCUUAUUUCAAUUGUUCCAAUUAGGAUAUGUUCAUUUUAGCGCUAGCAGUCACGACGACACUUGAUUGAAUCCACUUUAUCGAUGCAGUUUUUGUUCUAACUCGUUAGUAUUUGUCGUCAAAUUUGCAAAGAGCAUGUACCUUGUUCAAUGGUAAUGUCAAUAGAACCCUAACGCAAGCAUUCAGGUGCAGCAAGUAUUGGUAGCUUAUGGGCAGUUAUAAUUGACAUUCAUAGUGAUCAAUCAAUGUAUACUAUUGCAGGUAAUAAAUUUCAUUUGAAACAUGG